rnacentral:rRNA from 1 species
GACGAACGCUGGCGGCGUGCUUAACACAUGCAAGUCGAACGGUGAAGCGCCUUCCUUUUUGGUGGGUGUGGAUGAGUGGCGAACGGGUGAGUAACACGUGAGUAACCUGCCCCCUUCUUCUGGAUAACCGCAUGAAAGUGUGGCUAAUACGGGAUAUUCUGGGUCUGUCGCAUGAUGGGUCUGGGAAAGAUAUUGUUUCGGUGGGGGAUGGGCUCGCGGCCUAUCAGCUUGUUGGUGGGGUGAUGGCCUACCAAGGCGGUGACGGGUAGCCGGCCUGAGAGGGUGGACGGUCACACUGGGACUGAGACACGGCCCAGACUCCUACGGGAGGCAGCAGUGGGGAAUAUUGCACAAUGGGCGCAAGCCUGAUGCAGCGACGCCGCGUGUGGGAUGGAGGCCUUCGGGUUGUGAACCUCUUUCGCCAGUGAAGCAGGCCUGCCUCGUUUGUGGGUGGGUUGACGGUAGCUGGAUAAGAAGCGCCGGCUAACUACGUG